AUCAAGGAAAAAAAUGGGUAAAUAUAAGAUUCAAGAGGCCUGUAACAGUCAACACCAAGAGAUGAAGAGUAUUUAAGAAGGUGAAUUUGUUCUAGAGAUGCCCUUGGUUACAUGUGAGCAUUUAUUUGUACUGAACUUGUGGAAUUGUUACCUGAAAGCAUAUGUUGGAUGAUUCCUUUGUUGUUUUAAUGUUUUUUGAGCAGUAACUUAUGUAGGAGAGUUAUUAAAAAGUGAUUUGGCACGGAUGUCUAGCCACCACUCGGACUUGGGUACUGCACAAUAAUCUUACGUGUUAGUGUUUCAGUAGCACCUAUUUUCUAAAAUUUCUUAGAUUUUUCCGCUAAUUUGGAAUUUCAAAGCAUCAUACCCAUGUUUAAGUAUCCUUAACCAACAUGGGUGCUAUAUGCCCUAAGGUAAAGUGAAGAGUAGGAAAUAACCAUGGUUAUUCAUUGGUACACAUAUGCCAAAUAGACUAUAGUCAUGUAACUUACACUAUGUUUGGGAGGGAGUUUUUGGAGGUA
rnacentral:misc_RNA from 1 species